rnacentral:tmRNA from 1 species
GGGGGCGCACUGGUUUCGACGGGGUUGCAGAAGCCGUAAUGGCAGGCCGAGGCGCCGCUGGCCUCGUAAAAAGCGGCAACAAUGUAAUUGCCAACGACGAUUACGCUUACGCCUGCGCUGCCUAGGCAGCAGGGCACCUGGUCACCUCGGUGGCCACGUCGAUCCGACUGACGCCUGAUACGUCGGUGAGGCGCAAAUUCAUCGGGCUGGCGUUUGCCUGCGCUUGCUGGGGCAACCGUGAGAUCCUGCAGGAAGCUGGCGCUGCGUGUCCUGAUUGGCGGACCCACGCGGGGCGAGACGCAAAGCCAAUCUAAGCCUGUAGAAGUUGCGCGUGGAUCUUUCUCGGACGCGGGUUCGAUUCCCGCCGCCUCCACCA